rnacentral:lncRNA from 1 species
UAAUAAGGGCUAUUAGGGUUGUUCACAAUGGCAAUCAUACCAGGCAGCAACAAUGGCAAUUCAGGUGCUUUUGGCUUCUUUGAGCUCACAAGUGCCGCAGUUGAUCCAGAGUCUGCAACCAAUGGCUUUUUGGGAGGUGGGUUUUUCUCAAUGAACUUUUGCAACCCCUUCUCACCACCAGGAAAUCCCCCAGUAAGCCCCAUAAGCUCCUUUUCAAAAGCAUCUUCUUGAACGCUUUUAAGAGCACUUGCCGAAGAACUAUCUGAUUUUUCUUCAUCUGUUUCAGCAGCAACAGCUGCUGAUACUUGUUCUUCCACAUCUUUUUGUUCUUCAACAUUUCUUGUAAGCUCUUGUAGCAGACCUUCUUCACCAUUGCAAAGCCCUCUGCCUCCCAAGAUUUCAGAUAGAUUGAAUUUGGCACACGGCCUUAGGGAAUGGAUCGAUGGCUGUUUGUGAAUUGUGAAAGACGAUUUAUGAGCACGAUUGGAGAGAUCAUUUCUUCCAAGAAAAUUGGAUUUGAGAAGAGGGCCUUGAAAGCUUGGGAGAGUUAUGU